GAUGAACGCUGGCGGCGUGCCUAAUACAUGCAAGUCGAGCGAACAGACGAGGAGCUUGCUCCUCUGACGUUAGCGGCGGACGGGUGAGUAACACGUGGAUAACCUACCUAUAAGACUGGGAUAACUUCGGGAAACCGGAGCUAAUACCGGAUAAUAUAUUGAACCGCAUGGUUCAAUAGUGAAAGACGGUUUUGCUGUCACUUAUAGAUGGAUCCGCGCCGCAUUAGCUAGUUGGUAAGGUAACGGCUUACCAAGGCGACGAUGCGUAGCCGACCUGAGAGGGUGAUCGGCCACACGGGAACUGAGACACGGUCCAGACUCCUACGGGAGGCAGCAGUAGGGAAUCUUCCGCAAUGGGCGAAAGCCUGACGGAGCAACGCCGCGUGAGUGAUGAAGGUCUUCGGAUCGUAAAACUCUGUUAUUAGGGAAGAACAAAUGUGUAAGUAACUAUGCACGUCUUGACGGUACCCAAUCAGAAAGCCACGGCUAACUACGUG
rnacentral:rRNA from 1 species